rnacentral:rRNA from 1 species
AUUGAACGCUGGCGGCAUGCCUUACACAUGCAAGUCGAACGGUAACAGGUCUUCGGAUGCUGACGAGUGGCGAACGGGUGAGUAAUACAUCGGAACGUGCACGAUCGUGGGGGAUAACGAAGCGAAAGCUUUGCUAAUACCGCAUACGAUCUACGGAUGAAAGCAGGGGACCGCAAGUCCUUGCGCGAACGGAGCGGCCGAUGGCAGAUUAGGUAGUUGGUGGGAUAAAAGCUUACCAAGCCGACGAUCUGUAGCUGGUCUGUGAGGACGUCCAGCCACACUGGGACUGAGACACGGCCCAGACUCCUACGGGAGGCAGCAGUGGGGAAUUUUGGACAAUGGGCGAAAGCCUGAUCCAGCCAUGCCGCGUGCAGGAUGAAGGCCUUCGGGUUGUAAACUGCUUUUGUACGGAACGAAAAGACUCUGGUUAAUACCUGGGGUCCAUGACGGUACCGUAAGAAUAAGCACCGGCUAACUACGUGCCAGCCGCCGCCGUAACAC